GACGAAGGCUGGCGGCGUGCUUAACACAUGCAAGUCGAACGAUGAACCCGGAGCUUGCUCCGGUGGAUUAGUGGCGAACGGGUGAGUAACACGUGAGUAACCUGCCCUUGACUCUGGGAUAACUGCGGGAAACUGUAGCUAAUACCGGAUACGACCCUCGGCGGCAUCGCCAGGGGGUGGAAAGAAUUUCGGUCAAGGAUGGACUCGCGGCCUAUCAGCUAGUUGGGGAGGUAACGGCUCACCAAGGCGACGACGGGUAGCCGGCCUGGGGGGGUGACCGGCCACACUGGGACUGAGACACGGCCCAGACUCCUACGGGAGGCAGCAGUGGGGAAUAUUGCACAAUGGAGGCAACUCUGAUGCAGCAACACUGCGUGAAGGAUGAAGGUUUUCGGAUCGUAAACUUCUUUUAUCUGGGAAUAAUCUUGAAGGUACCAGAUGAAUAAGCACCGGCUAACUACGUGCCAGCAGCCGCCGUAA
rnacentral:rRNA from 1 species